rnacentral:rRNA from 1 species
GACGAACGCUGGCGGCGUGCCUAAUACAUGCAAGUUGAGCGCUGAAGGGUGGUACUUGUACCAACUGGAUUAGCAGCGGACGGGUGAGUAACGCGUGGGUAAUCUACCUUUGAGCGGGGGACAACAUCUGGAAACGAGUGCUAAUACCGCAUAAUAUCUUGAACCACAUGUUUUAAGUUUGAAAGAUGCAAUUGCAUCACUCAAUGAUUAUCCCGCGUGUGAUUAGCUAGUUGGUAAGGUAAAGGCUCACCAAGGCAAGGUUCCAUAACCGACCUUGAGGGUUGUCCGCCCACAUGGGAACGAGACAACGGCCAAACCCCCUAGGGAGGCAGCAGUAGGGAAUCCUCGGCAAUGGACGAAAGUCUGAACGAGCAACGCCGGCUGAGGGAAGAAGGUUCUCGGAUCGUAAAACUCUGUUGGUAGAGAAGAAACUUGGUGAGAGUGGAAAGCUCACAUAGUGACGGUAACUAACCAGAAAGGGACGGCUAACUACGUG